UAGCAUAUGAUAAGUAAUUACUUAAAAUAUGCACUUAAUAAUAAUAUAAUAUUAUUAUGCAAAUCAUCUUUAAAAUAAUUAAUCAAACUAAUUAUAGUCAAAUUAAUUAAAUAGUGAGUCCAUUUAAUGAAGAAGCUGCAAGUCCAAUUGAAUAAAUUUAGGGCUCAAGGAAAUAAAUAAAACAUUAACCCAUUUGAAAAUUUAAAACAAAAAUCGGCCCAAAUAAGGAGCCCAACUGAAGAAUUAAAACAAAGAAAUCAGCCCAACUCAAAGCCCAACAUUUUCCUUUUAAAAAUAAAAUCGGCCCAAGUGGUUAAGCCCAAAUAAGGAGCCCACACUCAAGACCCUAGCCCAUUUAUCACCCUUCUUCAACCUAACACACGCACACACUCUCUUCUCUCUCUCAAGCGGCUGAUCCAUCGUCUCUCUCUCCCUCUCGAAAUCACCCCCUUCUCCCUCAUCCUCACCCAUCCAAAUCUAGCCGCCGCGGCUCCUUCCGGCGAGGCAGCCGUCGACCGACCUCCGACUCCCAUCUCUCUCUCUCCUGGGUCUGAUCGGCAGCAGCUGAGCCGCCGCCGACGCUCCUCCCUCUCCUCGGCUCAACCUUGGCCGAUGGUACCGCCAUUGCCGCCCUCAAAUUCCCAGCGAGUAGCAGCCACCAAACUGCCACCACCGCCGCCGUCGUUCUCCGUUCAGCGACUGGUCGCCGCCCGUCGACUCACCACAUCAUCUUCCUCUCUCCUUUACUUCGGUUCCGCUAGAAAUCCACCACCGCGGUUCUACCUCCGGCGAUAGCAGCCACAGCCGCCACCGCUCCUCCCUCUCUAUCUCUGAAUCAGUCCGGCGACAACACAAGCCACCAUCACCGACACUCCCUCGUUCCCGGCGAGGAGCGCCGCCUGCUUCCUCGGCUCUCCCUUCACUCUCUCUCAUCUCCUUCUACCCUUCGCAACGUCAAGGCGCUGCUGCCCCCCUGCAACUGCCCUAGGUUCCCAAAAUCAGACGCCACCCUUUCCUGUCUAUACCACUCAGUUUUCCGGCGACAGUAUAGCUACCAGGCCACUGCCGCCGUUCUCUCAUCCCUCUGCUCAACUCCGGUCGAUAGCAGCAGCCAAUCAGCUGCCACUAUCGCCGCCGUCUGCUGGCCCGACAACCCACUCGGACUAAAACAGGACACGCGCAACAUGAAACCAAGAUUUCUCCAAUUUGUUGUAUUCAAAACAGGGAGCAAGAUUUGAUUUUUCUUUGCUUUUGAUUAUCUAGAUUCAUGGCUUUGUUUGAAAAUAUAGAAUAUUAGAUGAAUUCUCUUAUUCAUUCUAUGCACACGAAUAUAUAUACACACAUGAGUGAAUGAGUUGCUUUCAUUUGAUUGAGUGUGUUUGGUUAGUGCUCUGUGAAACAAGAAGAGAUGUGCUUGAAUGAAAAGUAAAAUAAAGUUGAGAUAAACCUUAUAGUGUUCUGUGUAGGAACGAAUCUGAUGUUGAACUUCUGGAGAUAGAGAUGUGCAUUGAAUUUCUUCCUUGCGAGAAAGAGAUUGUGAAAGAUUUUGUGAAAUAAGGUAGGAAUAAAUUGAUUUGAGCAUAGGAUAUGGCUUUGCGGACAAGAGUGAGUGUAAAGUGGGUGGAAAGAGUGGGUGUAGGUGGGUGUGAAUGAAUUAAAGUUGCAGGGAAAGUGUCGUUGGUGGAAAAUAAAGAGUGUGAGUGGAAAUAGGUGGGUGGGUGGAAGACAAAAGUAACGUGUGAGUGGAAAUAGGUGGGAGUAGUGGGAGGAAUAAAAUAAUAAAAUAAAAAAUAUUUCGGGUUGUACUAUGAAAACUGUAAUAAUUCUUCAGUGUUUGCUUAAAUAAAAGCUCGUGAAAAUGCUUUGAAUGCUAAAUUAAAUAAAUAUGCAAUGCAUAUAAAUUCAAUAACUACAUUUACAAAUGUUUUUGUAAAUCAUUUUUGUUGGAAUUAAAAAUAAAUUCUUU
rnacentral:lncRNA from 1 species